rnacentral:rRNA from 1 species
UACGAAGGGGAGCUAGCGUUGUUCGGAAUUACUGGGCGUAAAGCGCGCGCAGGCGGUCCUUUAAGUCAGGGGUGAAAGCCCAGAGCUCAACUCUGGAACUGCCUUUGAAACUAGAGGACUUGGGUACGGGAGAGGUGAGUGGAAUUCCGAGUGUAGAGGUGAAAUUCGUAGAUAUUCGGAAGAACACCAGUGGCGAAGGCGGCUCACUGGCCCGUUACCGACGCUCAGGCGCGACAGCGUGGGGAGCAAACAGG